CCUACGGGUGGCAGCAGUAGGGAAUCUUCCACAAUGGGCGAAAGCCUGAUGGAGCAACGCCGCGUGGGUGAAGAAGGUCUUCGGAUCGUAAAACCCUGUUGUUAGAGAAGAAAGUGCGUGAGAGUAACUGUUCACGUUUCGACGGUAUCUAACCAGAAAGCCACGGCUAACUACGUGCCAGCAGCCGCGGUAAUACGUAGGUGGCAAGCGUUAUCCGGAUUUAUUGGGUGUAAAGGGAACGCGGGCGGUCUUUUAAGUCUGAUGGGAAAGCCUUCGGCUUAACCGGAGUAGUGCAUUGGAAACUGGGAGACUUGAGUGCAGAAGAGGAGAGUGGAACUCCAUGUGUAGCGGUGAAAUGCGUAGAUAUAUGGAAGAACACCAGUGGCGAAAGCGGCUCUCUGGUCUGUAACUGACGCUGAGGUUCGAAAGCGUGGGUAGCAAACAGGAUUAGAUACCCGAGUAGUC
rnacentral:rRNA from 1 species